UACGUAGGGGGCAAGCGUUGUCCGGAUUUAUUGGGCGUAAAGAGCGUGUAGGCGGUUUGGUAGGUCCGCUGUGAAAACUCGAGGCUCAACCUCGAGACGCCGGUGGAAACCAUCAGACUAGAGUCCGGAAGAGGAGAGUGGAAUUCCUGGUGUAGCGGUGAAAUGCGCAGAUAUCGGGAGGAACACCAGUGGCGAAGGCGACUUCCUGGCCUGUUCUUGACGCUGAGGCGCGAAAGCUAGGGGAGCAAACGGG
rnacentral:rRNA from 1 species